ACCGGCAAACGGGUGCGGAACACGUACACAACCUUCCUAUAAGUGGGGAAUAGCCCAGAGAAAUUUGGAUUAAUACCCCGUAACAUAUCGAUGUGGCAUCACAUUGUUAUUAUAGCUUCGGCGCUUAUUGAUGGGUGUGCGGCUGGUUAGAUAGUUGGCGGGGUAACGGCCCACCAAGUCUACGAUCAGUAGCUGAUGUGAGAGCAUGAUCAGCCACACGGGCACUGAGACACGGGCCCGACUCCUACGGGAGGCAGCAGUAAGGAAUAUUGGUCAAUGGACGCAAGUCUGAACCAGCCAUGCCGCGUGAAGGAUUAAGGUCCUCUGGAUUGUAAACUUCUUUUAUCUGGGACGAAAAAAGGCUUUUCUAAGUCACUUGACGGUACCAGAUGAAUAAGCACCGGCUAACUCCGUGCCAGCAGCCGCGGUAAUACGGAGGGUGCAAGCGUUAUCCGGAUUCACUGGGUUUAAAGGGUGCGUAGGCGGGCAGGUAAGUCAGUGGUGAAAUCCUGGAGCUUAACUCCAGAACUGCCAUUGAUACUAUCUGUCUUGAAUAUUGUGGAGGUAAGCGGAAUAUGUCAUGUAGCGGUGAAAUGCUUAGAUAUGACAUAGAACACCUAUUGCGAAGGCAGCUUACUACGCAUAUAUUGACGCUGAGGCACGAAAGCGUGGGGAUCAAACAGGAUUAGAUACCCUGGUAGUCCACGCCCUAAACGAUGGAUACUCGACAUACGCG
rnacentral:rRNA from 1 species